rnacentral:rRNA from 1 species
UACGGGGGGGGCAAGCGUUGUUCGGAAUUACUGGGCGUAAAGUGUGCGCAGGCGGCCGCGCAAGUCGAGUGUGAAAGCCCCGAGCUUAACUUGGGAAUUGCGCUCGAAACUACGUGGCUGGAGUGUGGCAGAGGAAGGUGGAAUUCCAGGUGUAGCGGUGAAAUGCGUAGAGAUCUGGAGGAACACCGAUGGCGAAGGCAGCCUUCUGGGCCAACACUGACGCUCAUGCACGAAAGCGUGGGGAGCAAAAGGG